rnacentral:rRNA from 1 species
UACGUAGGGCGCAAGCGUUAUCCGGAAUUAUUGGGCGUAAAGAGCUCGUAGGCGGUUUGUCGCGUCUGCCGUGAAAGUCCGGGGCUCAACCCCCGGAUCUGCGGUGGGUACGGGCAGACUUGAGUGCAGUAGGGGAGACUGGAAUUCCUGGUGUAGCGGUGAAAUGCGCAGAUAUCAGGAGGAACACCGAUGGCGAAGGCAGGUCUCUGGGCUGUAACUGACGCUGAGGAGCGAAAGCAUGGGGAGCGAACAGG